rnacentral:lncRNA from 1 species
GGAGAAUAUAUGCUUGUAUUGCUACUCAAUGCUUUACAAGUUGUGAGGUGAGGAUUCACAAUGUGACAUCCUCCUUAUAUACAUUCCCUAUCCCACCUACCAUCAUGGUAGGUGGCUAAGAUACAAUGUCACCUACCGGCAUCUACCAACUACUGUCACCAACCGUAGUCUACCUACUACUGUACAACGAAUCUGGACAUGUGGGCCAAGAGGUCUAGCAUGAUCAAUCCAACGGGUUGGGCCUUGAACAUGCGGGCCGUGAC